rnacentral:rRNA from 1 species
UGGGGAAUAUUGCACAAUGGGCGCAAGCCUGAUGCAGCCAUGCCGCGUGUGUGAAGAAGGCCUUCGGUUGUAAAGCACUUCAGCGAGGAGGAAGGGUUCAGUGUUAAUAGCACUGUUCAUUGACGUUACUCGCAGAAGAAGCACCGGCUAACUCCGUGCCAGCAGCCGCGGUAAUACGGAGGGUGCAAGCGUUAAUCGGAAUUACUGGGCGUAAAAGCGCACGCAGGCGGUUUGUUAAGUCAGAUGUGAAAAUCCCCGCGCUUAGCGUGGGAACUGCAUUUGAAACUGGCAAGCUAGAGUCUUGUAGAGGGGGGUAGAAUUCCAGGUGUAGCGGUGAAAUGCGUAGAGAUCUGGAGGAAUACCGGUGGCGAAGGCGGCCCCCUGGACAAAGACUGACGCUCAGGUGCGAAAAGCGU